UUCUUUCUACUGGAUCUCACUCACAGAGGAUCUUUCAUUUAGUUUUUUUGUUUUUGCCAGAGUGUCUUGGCUUUCCAUGCCUGAAAUACUCUCAUGGGCUCUUCAGCCAGAUCUGAAUGCCUUAAGGUAAGCCUUGAUUUUCACAUCUACAACAUGCAGGAAUAAUAAUGCCUUUAUUACAGUGCUUCUGUGAGACUCCGAGACAAGAAAUGGGGAACACCCGAUGCAUGAUCGUAACUAUCAAUAUGGUAACAAUGUCUUCCAGAUAGUCCUCAGGCUCAGCUUGGAGAAGAGAAACUACUUAAGAGAAACCACUUAGAAUGCCUCAUGUAGCUCGUGUAGCUCCCAAUAUUGUGGAGUUGUACGUGCCUUGCCAAAAGAUGCCUGUGCAGUUAUUUAGAUAAGCUGCCACCUGGUCUGACUUCAGGUUUUGCUGUCACCACACCUCUCGGCUGUGACAGCAGAGGCUUUUCAGCAUAGAUGUUUUUCAACUGGAACCGCAGCACAUGGCUUUGUAAAUGUAAUUAGCGCACUCCUUGGGAAAUGCAAUGAGCUAUGCAAAAUCCAAGUACUUUGCAUCUUCAGAAACAUGUGUGGGAUACUCAUAUGUGCUCCAGUACUUUCCUCCUUAUUGCAAGGGGAAAAAAGCAGAUAGAGAUUAUGUAGGUACAAACAUCUAUAAAGAAAUCUGUGGAUCAGAGGAGCACAAGAAAAACUACAAGAACCCCACAGUUACAGUCUCUAAUGCCACCCUGAGAUGUGUGAAACCCUGGAAGAAUUAUAAUGAAGAUGUUUACCAUCAAGUUUGCAAAGAAGUGGCAGGAGCCUGAAAUCAUCAAGAGAACAUUAAAUGCCAGAACAUAGAAGAUUUGAAGGUUCUUUAGGACUUUGUUGAGCAGAGUCCCAUCUUGGAGCAGCUAGUCAGAAAGAAAGAGAUGAUCAAUGAUGAGCAUUCUUUCUUAUUGUUGGAGUGGGAGGUUUUAGACAAGCAAAGGGUACAGGUUAUAAGGAUCCAUGUGAUGAUGGUGGAAACAUCAGUAUAAUUCAGAUACAGAUGAUUGCAAUAGAAAAGUUUUAGGUGGCUUAUAUUCAUUGGUUAGCAUACACACAUUUAUUUCCUUGCUCUGUCAGCUCAGAGUGUCUAGAAGAAAUGAUUCUCCAGCAGCAAAAAACACACUUAGCACCCAGAUCUCAGUUUCUAAUACCGUUCUCCAACGAGAGGAAUAGGGAAUUUUGGUAAAAUGGCUAACUCUAGGACUCAGGCAGGAAAUACACAAAAUGAACUUGAGCCUCUUAUAGUGACAAGUAAGGAAACACUAAAAAAACCAAGACAAAACAGAUGAUGGGGGCAUGUCAUAGGAACACAGGAGCCAGCCAAAAGUUCUCAGUGGCCAAAGCUGAGACAAUUUGAGCAACAAAAUAAAGUAGUAGUUUGGGUUAGACCCCA
rnacentral:lncRNA from 1 species